rnacentral:rRNA from 1 species
AUGAGGGAGAUCCUGCACAUCCAGGGUGGGCAGUGUGGAAACCAGAUUGGUUCCAAGUUCUGGGAGGUGGUGUGUGACGAGCAUGGCAUCGACCCCACUGGGCGGUAUGUCGGCACCUCUGACCUGCAGCUGGAGCGUGUCAACGUCUACUACAAUGAGGCCUCCUGUGGUCGCUUUGUGCCCCGUGCUGUCCUUAUGGAUCUUGAGCCGGGCACCAUGGACAGUGUUCGUACUGGACCGUACGGGCAGAUCUUCCGCCCUGACAACUUUGUGUUUGGGCAGUCUGGUGCUGGUAACAACUGGGCCAAGGGUCACUACACUGAGGGUGCAGAGCUUAUUGAUUCUGUUCUUGAUGUUGUCAGGAAGGAGGCUGAGAACUGUGACUGCCUUCAAGGUUUCCAAGUAUGCCACUCUCUUGGUGGUGGUACUGGAUCAGGCAUGGGGACCCUUUUGAUAUCAAAGAUCAGGGAGGAGUACCCUGACCGCAUGAUGCUUACGUUCUCUGUUUUCCCCUCACCCAAAGUAUCUGAUACCGUGGUUGAGCCUUACAAUGCCACUCUUUCGGUCCAUCAGUUGGUUGAGAAUGCAGAUGAGUGCAUGGUUCUUGACAACGAGGCCCUUUAUGACAUCUGUUUCAGGACUCUCAAGCUGACCACUCCCAGCUUUGGAGAUUUGAACCAUCUGAUCUCAGCCACCAUGAGUGGAGUGACCUGCUGCCUGAGGUUCCCCGGCCAGCUGAACUCCGACCUCCGGAAGCUGGCAGUGAACCUGAUCCCGUUCCCGCGUCUCCACUUCUUCAUGGUCGGGUUCGCGCCGCUGACCUCCCGCGGGUCCCAGAUGUACCGCUCCCUCACGGUCCCGGAGCUGACCCAGCAGAUGUGGGACUCGAAGAACAUGAUGUGCGCCGCCGACCCGCGCCACGGCCGGUACCUGACGGCCUCGGCCAUGUUCCGCGGCAAGAUGAGCACCAAGGAGGUGGACGAGCAGAUGAUCAACGUGCAGAACAAGAACUCGAGCUACUUCGUGGAGUGGAUCCCCAACAACGUCAAGUCGAGCGUGUGCGACAUCGCGCCCAGGGGCCUGUCCAUGGCGUCCACCUUCAUCGGCAACUCGACGUCCAUCCAGGAGAUGUUCCGGCGGGUGAGCGAGCAGUUCACGGCCAUGUUCCGGCGCAAGGCCUUCCUCCACUGGUACACGGGCGAGGGCAUGGACGAGAUGGAGUUCACCGAGGCCGAGAGCAACAUGAACGACCUGGUCGCCGAGUACCAGCAGUACCAGGACGCCACCGCCGACGAGGAGGAGGAGCUGUACGAGGACGAGGACGACGCCGACCUCCAGGAGUAG